UAUCUACCAACUAACCCCUCUACUGAGACAAGUAAAGAUGUAUCAUAUCUACCAAAUAACCCUGCUACGCAGCGAAGUAAAGCUGGAAGUCCAAUCUUGUCCAGUUUCCAGUGCAGAGAUGUGGAUCACAUUGAUGUAUUUAAUGACCACUCUGGGGACAUGAAGCUAGAGAUGACAAGGGCGUUGGACGGAGACAACAUGACCUGCUUUCAGCUACCCCUACAGGAUGAACAAACCCCCUUCUUCCUGGUCCGGAUAUUCGUACCUGAAACCUUUGGGAUUAAGGCUAUUCCAUAUGAUAUCACCAUAACAGGAAAUGGACUGUCAUGUGAUAGGCACUCCAUCGCGAGGAUGA